rnacentral:lncRNA from 1 species
AGCUAUGACUAUGGAUGAUUUUGUUAAUAUAUUAAUCUAGAAUCCAAAAUAUUAAGUUAUUUAUAAGGUAUUUAAAAUACCCUAUGCAGAAUAUUGUGUUAAAUUUAAAUUAGCAAGAAAGGUCAAUUCUACACUGUUAUACAUUGCCAGUACUAAAGUUGACAGAAUAGAAACAUAUAUUUAUUGUAUUUGGAUCUUUAUAAAAUUAAUAUUUUUGUUCUACCAGUAUCAAUCAACCAUUUACUCUAUGUUGGACAUUUUCUAGAGGAUAGAUAUACAACAUUAAACAAAGCAGAAUGGAACCCCUAGGCUCCCUCUUCACUCUAGUGGAGGGAUCCAUAGCAUAAACAAAUACGUAAAUGAAAUGUAUAGCAUGUUCCAUGGUGGUAGGUGAUAUGGAAACAGGUCAGGAAGGGGUCUGGGGGUUGUCAGGCCAGAGUCUGACUUUCCAGGUUAAAUAGGAUGUUGAGGAAAACUCUUCACUGAGAAAGAUACAAGCAGACUGUAAUGUUGAAAUCUGGAAAAAAAUCACCAGCAGUAGGAACAAUUAAAAAGUCAUAGAAUGAAGUGUUUAUAUUUAAUUGUGGAUUUAAUAUUAGAGUCAACAAAAUAUACUCAUGAAAUGAAUGUAAAAUAUGAGAAACAGGGAGUCAGUGAUGACCCUGAGUUUUCUGCAGGUGGAGAACAUAUGCAAAGGAGGGUAUUAGGCUUACUGGAGUGAGACAUGGGGAUUGUGGGCCAUUUGUGAGUACAGUGAACCCACCAAGAAUUAUGAUAGGAGUGGAGAGUAGAAGCAUGUUGGUGACCCAGGUGCCAAAAUCAUCAGGGAGCAAAGCUGCAUGCAACGAUGAGGGGGGAGAUGAGGACUUACAAUGCAAAGUUGGAGGUUUGGGGAAAAUAGUCUGGAAAUGAUGGGGCACCAACCCAGUGAAUGUCGUGGGAAUUCUACAACACCAGGCACCUGCAGACAGGGCUUGAGGGAGCAUCUUCUCAAGGAAGCCUGCCAAGUUUCCAUCAGGGAAGCUUAGGUGGGAGGAUGCCAUUCCUUAGGAGUCUGGGAUGAGGAUAGAGGGUGGCUGAGGAACUACUGAGAGUGCUGGAGAGCAGGAGACAAGUGGAGACAGUUCGAGGGGAAUGAAGGUGAUGGGAUAAAGGCAGGGAUGGAGGAAAGUGUGAAGGCUGGCUGGAAGGUUCCAGAACUCUGGAAUUUCCCUCUUUGAAUGAAUGAAGAGGCUGCUUCUCAGGGCACUAUUAGCUUGAAAAUUAUAUACAUUUUUUUAAAUGCCUAACUAUACUUUAAAAUAAUUGUGGUCCAACAUAACAUUGAAAUCUUUUAAAAAUUAUUUUCCACUAUGGCUUAUUACAGGAUAUUGAAUAUAGUUCUCUAUGACUUUGUUGCUUAUCUAUUUUAUAUACAAUAGUGUAUAUGUGCUAAUGCCAAACUUCGAAUUUAUCCUUCUCCCAUCCCCUUUCCCCUUUGGUAACUGUAAGUUUGUUUACUAUGUCUGUGAGUCUUUUUCUGUUUUGCAAAUAAGUUCAUUUGUGUCAUAUUUUAGAUGCCACAUAUAAGUGUAAUAUUUGUCUUUCUCUGUCUGACUUCACUUAAUAAGAUAAGCUCUAGGUCCAUCCAUGUCACUGCAAAUGGCAUUAUUUCAUUCUUUUUUAUGGCUGUGUAUUAUUCCAUUAUAUAUAUAUAGUAUUCCAUUCAUUCAUUCCUCUGUCAGUAGACAUUUAGGUUAUUUCCAUAUAUUGGCUAUUGUGAAUAGUGCUGCAGUCAACAUAAGGGUGCAUGUAUCUUUUCAAUUACGGCUUUUUUCUGAAUAUAUGUCCAGGAGUGUAUGGGAUUGCUGGGUCAUAUAGCAACUCUAUUUUUAGUUUUUUUUUUAAUAAACCACCACUAUACUGUUCUCCAUAGUGUAUGUACCAAUUUAUAUUCCCACCCACAGUGUAAGAGAGUUCCCUUUUCUCCAUAUCCUCUCUAACAUUUUUUAUUUAUAAACUUAAUAAUAGCCAUUCUGACUGGUGUGAGGUGGUACCUUAUACAGUUGUGAUUUACAUUUCUCUAAUAAUUAGUGAUGUUGAGCAUCUUUUCUUGCACCUGUUGACCAUCUGUAUAUCUUCUUUGGAAAAAUGUCAGUUUAGGUCUUCUACCCAGUUUUUGAUUGGGUUGUUUGAUUUUGUGUUAUUGAAUUGUAUAUAAUGGGUUCUUUGUAUGUUUUGGAAAUUAAGCCCUUGUUGGUCCCAUCAUUUGCAAAUAUUUUCUCCUUGUCCAAAGAUUGUCUUUUCAUUUUGUUUGUGAUUUCCUUUGCUGUGCAGAGACUUAUGUUUGACAAGGUCCCAUUUGUUUAAUUUUGCUUUAAAAAGUAUUUAAUUUUUCUAUUGCCUUGGGAGACGCACUUGAGAAAACAUUUGUAUGAUUUAUGUCAGAGAAUAUUUUUCCUAUGCUCUCUACUAGGAGUUUUAUGGUGUCAUGACUUAUUUUUAAGUCUUUAAUACAUUUUGAGUUAUUUUAGUGCAUGGUGUGAGGGUGUGCUUUUUUUCAUGCCCACGGCAUGUGGAAAUUCCCAGGCCAGGAAUCAAACCUGUGCUGCAGCAGUACUGUGCCACAUCCUUAACCCACUGAGGAACCCACCAGGUAACUCCAGGGCUCUUUAUCACAUGCCAUUGAUCCAUAUUUAUUUUUUUAUAACAAUACCACAUUGUAUACAGAUAUUACUGUAUCUUUGUAGUAUUGUCUGAAGUCUGGGAGGGUUAUGUCUCCAAGGUUUGUUCUUUUUCCUCAGGAUUGCUUUGGCAAUUUUAGGUUUUAUAUGGUUCCAUAUAAAUUUUAAAAUUAUUUGUCCUAUUUCUUUGAAAAUGUCAUGGGUAAUUUGAUAGGGAUUGCAUUAAAUCUGUAGGUUGCUUUGGGUAGUACAAGCAUUUUAAGAAUAUUAAUUCUGCUAAUACAAGAACAUAGAAUAUAUUUCCAUUUCUUUGAGUCAUCUUUAAUUACUUUUAUCAGUGUUUUAUAGUUCUCAGCAUAUAAGUCUUUUACCUCCUUGGUCAGGUUUAUUCCUAAGGUUUUUUUUAAUGUGAUUUUAAAAGGGAUUGCUUUUUACUUUGCCUUUUGUUUAAAUAAAUAUCUUAUAUGAAGCCAGUAAAGGAGUCUUCCUUACUUUAUAAAAAGCCAUUUUCCUAACAUCAAGUAUAUCUUAUUGAAAGCUCAGUGCUGUGUUAAUGUUCAGAUUUGUAUGUAAGAAGAGUCAAUUUCAUUUUAAAAAUAAUGUUUCAUUAAAAUACUCCCUUAACAUGUUGCUGAAAAUAAAGCUGUGAAUUUGGUCUUCCACACCAAGCAUUACACUGCACACAAGCUGGGCACCUGGUAAUCCAUGCUGAGUCUAAUUUUCCUGCUAUUAAAUAAAAAUUGCACUUCAAAUGACCUAAUCAUCUUUUAAAAGCAUUUGCUCAACAAGACAUUAAAAAAAAAAACCCUGUAUGCAUGUUAUCCGAGAGAAACUCUUAGAAACAGAGUAUCCAUUAAAAAAACCUGAAAUAAAAGGGAAAUUAGUUUGAAGCAGCCUAAAAUAUCAGUGAUAGUAAAUUUAGAGACUUGAAGACUGCAGGUCAGUCUGGGUACCAACCAUCACAUUCAAUUGUGCCAACUCUGGUGAAUGUAACUGCUGAGGUUGCUGGCUCUGCGCCUUGCAUGAAAGGCAUGGGGAGGACAAUUUUUAUUGACUUCAUUUGGACUUAUGAUGUUGCCGAACACAAGAACUUACUGGAACAAAUGGAUAAGGCUCCAUCUCCAAUUACACACAUGUACACAGGCUCAUGUGCUCUUGAAACUACCAGCAUGGCAGGAGAAUAUAAAUGCAAAACAUGAGGUGGCUGUGACAAAUUUAGUACACAUGUGAAACAGUUUUCAGUAGGACCAGGAACUGACAAAUCCAAUCUGAUUGUACCUUUUUUAUAGUAAUUCAUGGGACCAGAGACCUGUAACUUCCAGAUCCACUCCUUUGUAACUUCUGUCCUUUUCCAAGUGGCUUUGCCUGUGCCUCAUGUUUAGUCAGUCAUUACUUCUCUAACCAUGCUGUAUUUUUUCCCAGAUAUAAAUUUUUAUAGAGCAGAGACUGUGUUCUACUUUAAUUCAUUCACAUUUAAGUGUUUACAUUGGCGUGGUGAUGUUACAGCUCUUAUUUUUGUAUGUGUCUAUCUACUUCCACUAGAUGGUGUGGAACUUCAACUUAGAAAGAAAGGCUUCGCAACCUCGUGUCCAAGUCAUGGUGCAGAAGUGCACAUGGUAAGGUGUGGGGAGUAGAUCCACCUCACUUCCCUGGAAGACAUUAGUAAGAUGAGUGUCAUUAUCUUGGUGAAUUUUUAAUCCAAGGUCUUAACCAUCAUUUUGAUGAUGCAGAAAAUUAACAGCCUACUAAAAGCAGAUGCAUCUUUUGGAGACAGACUACCUUAACAAAGGUCAAAGCCCAUUGCCCAAAACAAGAAUGUCAGUCUAUCACUUUAUAAUGUGACAUAUAUUUACCAUAAGGUCUUAGACAUUCUUUUCUGUUACACUAGUGUGGGGAUGGUUCUACAAUCCUACAUGAGAAGAGAUACCAUUUUUAUAAGAUGGCUAGGGAAGGAUGCAAUCCUUUCACUAAUAACUACCAAAGAAAGAACAGUGGAUGUGAGAUUAAGUACAUUUUGGCAGCAGAAUUUAAGGUAGCACAAGAAUGAAGAGUGCCUGAUUCAGUGGACUGACAUCUAAAAAUAGUAUUUCCAGUGGAAAUGGAAAUGGAAAUGAAUAUUCAGCCAAAGAGGUACCAAGACAUGGUCCUCAUAGGGGGAAGUAUUAGCCAUCUUCACACACAAGCACUGUUGGGAAGGAAACAUACCCCAUGUCUGUGGAAUAUCUCAUCCCUGGUGGACACUUGGUUCCUAAAGUGAAGAUUCAGCAUAGAGUUUCUCCUCCCUCUUUGGUAUUUCUGUAAUGUUGCUCUCAUGGUUUCUGCUUAACAAACACUACUGUGACUCUGUCCCUGAUCAAAGCACACCCAGCAUAAAUGGUCUGUCAUCCUUACACUUUCCUGAAGUACUAUUAUUCCACAGGGAAACAGGCAAACUAGAAGUUACAGUGAUGCAGUAACAUGCCCAUUUCCACAGGACCAAGAAAUGACAGAGUUGGAAGUCAGGUUCCCAAGGACACACCCCCAAGUUCAAACAUGUGCAAAGCUGGAGGCAGAGAGCUAGAUUUGGGGCCUGGAGUGUAUAAAAUUUGAGAGACUCUUUUAAAGAAGAAUAUGCAAAGUCAUGAUUAUAAAACUGAGUAUUUCCUUAGAAACAAGGAUGUUACACCAGAUUAUAAAAUUAAAAGCACUAACAAAUAGCUCAGGUGUUACAAAGAAAAGCACACACAGUAAAAACAGUAUUUUUAUAACUAUUUGGGCCAAACUGAUAAUGCUUUUUUUUUUCACUUUUCAGGGCUGCACAUGGAUGUUCCACAGGCUAGGGGUUGAAUGGGAGCUAUAGCCACUGGCCUAAACCGCAACCACAGCAAGGUGAGAUCUGAGCUGUGCCUGCGACUACACCACAGCUCACAGCAAUGCCUUAUCCUUAACCCACUGAGUGAGUCCAGGGAUUGAACCUAUGUCUUCAUGGAUGCUAGUUAGAUUCGUUUAUGCUGAGCCACUAUGGGAACUCUGAUGAUACUUUUUUCUUACAGUUUUGGUUGCAUCCUUCUUUGACUACUUCUCUGUAUAGUGGUAUUCUAAUAGUUUCUUUAGUGAUCAAAAGAUAAUUCAAUUUUUCCCCUAAGAUAGUUGAUCGAAUUUAAUUAUUACUGACAAUUUGAAUGUGAGCAUUGCAUUAUUUCACAUCUUUUAUAUCCAUUCUUUGUAGUCCUGUUACUGGUUUAAGUACCAGAAACAUGGGAAUUUUGACAAAUUAUAUUAGAUGAAUCUCAUCAAAAGGGAGAAAAGUUGUACAGUGUAUGAGAAUCAUUUAUACUUCUUUAUCAAGGAUAUUCUUGAUAAGAGAAAUUCUGCUUAAACUAGACAUAAGUAGAUACCACAGUCCUCAGCUUAAGUUUUGCACAUUUAAUGGCUGGAAGAUGUCUAUAAACUUAACUUCUUACAUCAUCUAUUGCAAAACUAUUUCUUCUCUGCCUUACACCUACUUCCAGUGCUAGUGGCCCUUGCUCGUGUAUAUGACAGUACAACCCCAACUUUUAGCCGUUUUAAUAACAAUACGAGUGGUCAAAUCCAGUGGGUGGGUGGAGUCAUCCUGAAAAACGUCACUACACUUGGAUAUUUAGGAAUAAAGUAGCAUUGAAGAUAAAUUACUGCAAACCACACAGUCAUGUUCCACCAUUGUCUUACAGUGUACAUCCAAACUCUCCCUAACUGCAUCUCCAGCCACCGUGGUCACUGACCCCUGACAUGAAAGGAGACAUGGUUGAGGGAAAACUGAGGUUAAAUGAGAAUGGUGAGGUUUUCCAAAAUCAAUUACCAUGCCUCCCAUUGCUAGGUCCCUCCCAGGACUUAAAGGGAUCUGUGCAAUGUGGGCCCUGGGCUUAAGUUCUGUGAGUUUCUUUUGGAUUAAUUUCUGUGAUGACAGCUGUAUCAUCAGAUGGUAGUAUAUGUGGUUAAUAUUCAAAAUGACGACGGAGUUCCUGUUGUGGCUCAGUAAGUUAAGAAUCCAACUUAGUAUCCAUGAGGAUGUGGGUUUGAUCCCUGCCCUUGUACGGUGAGUUAAGGAUCUGGUGUUGCCAUGAGCUGUGGUGUAGGUCGAAGAUGCUUUACCUGAUCCUGCAUUACCAUGGCUGCAAAAUGCAGCUCUGAUUUGAACCCUAGCCUGGGAACUUCCUUCCAUAUGCCUCAGGUGUGGCC